AUGGGCUCCAUGCUCCUCUGCUGUGUGGUCUUUUGUCUCCUGGGAACAGGCUCCAUGGAUGUUGGUAUUACCCAGACUCCAAGGAAUAGGAUAGCAAACACAGGAAAGAGCACUGUACUGGAAUGUUCUCAGACUAAGGGUCAUGAGUCUAUGUACUGGUACCGACAAGACCCAGGACUGGGGCUCCGGCAGAUCUACUACUCCCACGGUGUCGAUGAAAUUAACAAAGGAGAUGUCUCCGAUGGGUACAGAGUCUCUCGUAAGAAGCAGGCGAAGUUCUCCCUCUUCCUAGAGCCCGCCACCCCCAACCAGACAGCCCUUUACUUCUGUGCCACUGUGAGCACUGACACUCAGUACUUCGGGCCGGGCACGCGGCUCCUGGUGCUAGACGACCUGAGCAAGGUGACCCCACCCAAGGUGGCUGUGUUCGAGCCGUCAGCAGCAGAGAUCUCCCGGACCCAGAAGGCCACGCUCGUGUGCCUGGCCACGGGCUUCUACCCCGACCACGUGGAGCUGAGCUGGUGGGUGAACGGGAAGCAGGUCGAGACGGGGGUCAGCACGGACCCUCAGCCCCACAAGGAGGACCCCAGCCGCAACGACUCCAGCUACUGUCUGAGCAGCCGGCUGAGGGUCUCCGCCAGCUUCUGGUACAACCCUCGCAACCUCUUCCGCUGCCAAGCCUGGUUCCACGGGCUCUCGGACGAGGACGAGUGGAAGCAGGACAGGCCCAAACCCGUCACCCAGACCAUCAGUGCCGAGGUCCGGGGCCGAGCAGACUGUGGCCUCACCUCGGCGUCCUACCAGCAAGGGGUCCUGUCUGCCACCAUCCUCUAUGAGAUCCUGCUGGGGAAGGCCACCCUGUAUGCUGUGCUGGUCAGCGCCCUGGUGCUGAUGGCCAUGGUCAAGAGAAAGGAUUCCUGAAGCCAGCUUAGAGGUGGAGCCAGGAGCUUCCAGCCUGUUAUGGCCCUGGUGUGAAUUCUGCUUUUUCCAUUCCUACCCAGUGCUUCAGAAGAGCUGCUCUCAUCUCUCUACGCACCCCAGUAUCUACCCCUGUGUGCAUGCACCCAAACACUCAUGACCAAAAUCUCCCUAGCCCAAGGGGGACCCUGGCGGGCCUGAACGGAUUCAGCCAAUAAAAAUG